GGGAAAACAGAAGUUUCCAGGAGGUAGAGCUGUCCUUUGCUCUGGGUCUUGUGAUCUAGAUGAGGUCCUUACUACCAAGUACCCUCAAGGAAUGGAGGAGGCACUCAGUUCCUACCACAUUUUGGAUAUGGCUCAGCAAAUAUUUAUUUUGGAAAAAUCUUGGAUUUACCCCUACUUCAAGUGUGGUCAGAAUACUAUGAUGACAGACUUCAUCUGAGAUGUAAGACAGGCAAGGCAGCACUUUGCCUUGGAACUCAGAAAUGGGCCAGUGAAACAAUACCAACCUCGGUAAGUGAAGCC
ensembl:lncRNA